rnacentral:rRNA from 1 species
AGAGCGAACGCUGGCGGCAGGCUUAACACAUGCAAGUCGAGCGGGCGUAGCAAUACGUCAGCGGCAGACGGGUGAGUAACGCGUGGGAACGUACCUUUUGGUUCGGAACAACCCAGGGAAACUUGGGCUAAUACCGGAUAAGCCCUUACGGGGAAAGAUUUAUCGCCGAAAGAUCGGCCCGCGUCUGAUUAGCUAGUUGGUGGGGUAAUGGCCCACCAAGGCGACGAUCAGUAGCUGGUCUGAGAGGAUGAUCAGCCACAUUGGGACUGAGACACGGCCCAAACUCCUACGGGAGGCAGCAGUGGGGAAUAUUGGACAAUGGGCGCAAGCCUGAUCCAGCCAUGCCGCGUGAGUGAUGAAGGCCCUAGGGUUGUAAAGCUCUUCUGUGCGGGAAGAUAAUGACGGUACCGCAAGAAUAAGCCCCGGCUAACUUCGCGCCAGCAGCCGC